rnacentral:rRNA from 1 species
UACGUAGGGUCCAAGCGUUAUCCGGAAUCACUGGGUGUAAAGCGUGCGUAGGUGGCGUGUUAAGUGUGAUGUUAAAUCGUGUGGCUCAACCAUAUCGAUGUGUCGCAUACUGGCAUGCUAGAGGACAGCAGAGGCAAGUGGAAUUAGUAGUGUAGCAGUGAAAUGCGUAGAUAUUACUAGGAACACCAAUGCGAAGGCAGCUUGCUGGGCUACUCCUGACACUGAGGUACGAAAAGCGUGGGGGAGCGAACAG